ACUCAAAGGAAUAGACGGGGACCCGCACAAGCGGUGGAGCGUGUUGUUUAAUUCGAUGGUAAGCGAAGAACCUUACCAGGGUUUGACAUCUCGGGAAGGUCGCCGAAAGGCGACUGUGCCUUCGGGAACCCGAUGACAGGUGUUGCAUGGCCGUCGUCAGCUCGUGUCGUGAGAUGUUUGGUUAAGUCCAUCAACGAGCGCAACCCUUGUAGUUAGUUGAAUUUCUCUAGCUAGACUGCCUCGGUAACGGGGAGGAAGGAGGGGAUGAUGUCAGGUCUGUAUUACCCUUACAUCCUGGGCUACAAACACGCUACAAUGGCCGGUACAAAGGGCAGCUAAGUCGCAAGGCGGAGCAAAUCCCAUCAAAGCCGGUCUCAGUUCGGAUCGGGGGCUGAAACUCGCCCCCGUGAAGCUGGAAUCGCUAGUAACGGUAAGUCAGCACAUUACCGUGAAUACGUUCCCGGGUCUUGCACACACCGCCCGU
rnacentral:rRNA from 1 species